AUUGAACGCUGGCGGCACGCCUAACACAUGCAAGUCGAGCGGCAGCGGGGUUAGUAGCAAUACUAACUGCCGGCGAGCGGCGGACGGGUGAGUAACACGUAGGAACCUACCCAAGAGAGGGGGAUAACCAAGGGAAACUUUGGCUAAUACCGCGUAAUCUCGGAAGAGCAAAGCUGCCGCAAGGUGGCGCUUUUGGAGGGGCCUGCGUCCGAUUAGCUAGUUGGUGGGGUAAGAGCCCACCAAGGCUGUGAUCGGUAACUGGUCUGAGAGGACGACC
rnacentral:rRNA from 1 species